GACGAACGCUGGCGGCGUGCUUAACACAUGCAAGUCGAACGGAAAGGCCCUGCUUUUGUGGGGUGCUCGAGUGGCGAACGGGUGAUUAACACGUGAGUAACCUGCCCUUGACUUUGGGAUAACUUCAGGAAACUGGGGCUAAUACCGGAUAGGAGCUCCUGCUGCAUGGUGGGGGUUGGAAAUUUUCGGCGGUUGGGGAUGGACUCGCGGCUUAUCAGCUUGUUGGUGGGGUAGUGGCUUACCAAGUCUUUGACGGGUAGCCGGCCUGAGAGGGUGACCGGCGACAUGGGGACUGAGAGACGGCGCAGACUCCUACGGGAGGCAGCAGGGGGGAAUAUUGCACAAUGGGCGGAAGCCUGAUGCAGCAACGCCGCGUGCGGGAUGACGGCCUUCGGGUUGUAAACCGCUUUCGCCUGUGACGAAGCGUGAGUGACGGUAAUGGGUAAAGAAGCACCGGCUAACUACGUG
rnacentral:rRNA from 1 species